CCUACGGGGGGCUGUAGUGGGGAAUAUUGGACAAUGGGCGAAAGCCUGAUCCAGCCAUGCCGCGUGUGUGAAGAAGGCCUUCGGGUUGUAAAGCACUUUCAGUGGGGAAGAAAGCCUUGGGGCUAAUACCCUCGAGGAAGGACAUCACCCACAGAAGAAGCACCGGCUAACUCCGUGCCAGCAGCCGCGGUAAUACGGAGGGUGCGAGCGUUAAUCGGAAUUACUGGGCGUAAAGCGCGCGUAGGCGGUCUGAUAAGCCGGUUGUGAAAGCCCCGGGCUCAACCUGGGAACGGCAUCCGGAACUGUCAGGCUAGAGUGCAGGAGAGGAAGGUAGAAUUCCCGGUGUAGCGGUGAAAUGCGUAGAGAUCGGGAGGAAUACCAGUGGCGAAGGCGGCCUUCUGGACUGACACUGACGCUGAGGUGCGAAAGCGUGGGUAGCAAACAGGAUUAGAUACCCCUGUAGUC
rnacentral:rRNA from 1 species